rnacentral:rRNA from 1 species
GAUGAACGCUGGCGGCGUGCCUAAUACAUGCAAGUCGAGCGAAUGGAUUAAGAGCUUGCUCUUAUGAAGUUAGCGGCGGACGGGUGAGUAACACGUGGGUAACCUGCCCAUAAGACUGGGAUAACUCCGGGAAACCGGGGCUAAUACCGGAUAACAUUUUGAACCGCAUGGUUCGAAAUUGAAAGGCGGCUUCGGCUGUCACUUAUGGAUGGACCCGCGUCGCAUUAGCUAGUUGGUGAGGUAACGGCUCACCAAGGCAACGACGCGUAGCCGACCGGGGAGGGUGAUCGGCCACACUGGGACUGAGACACGGCCCAGACUCCUGCGGGAGGCAGCAGGAGGGAAGCGUCCGCAAUGGACGAAAGUCUGACGGAGCAACGCCGCGUGAGUGAGGAAGGCUUUCGGGUCGUAAAACUCUGUUGAUAGGGAAGAACAAGUGCUAGUUGAAUAAGCUGGCACCUUGACGGUACCUAACCAGAAAGCCACGGCUAACUACGUGCCAGCCGCCGCGGUAA